AUUAGAUGAUGAGAAAAGGUUUCCCUCAACUUGAAUUUGAAUUACCAAGAUGUCUUGGAUGCAUGGUCGGAUCGUGGGCCUCUAUUGGCCGAUGAUUGUUCCAUUUCAACGCCCACCAGCGUCAAUGGCUACUAUAUGGGAGAAGUGCCGAUGAUGGAGCUAGAAGAAAGAACAAGAAGGGAAGCGAGUGUUCUCAGAUACAAAGAGAAGCGUCAGACUAGAUUGUCUGCAAGAAGAUAAGGUAUGAAGUCCGCAAACUGAACGCAGAUAAACGACCCAGGCUCAAGGGCCGGUUUGUGAAGAGAGUUUCCUGAGAGAAGAUAACCUAAACGCUGUUUCAAAUAUCUGAUAAAAAUAUCUUUUAGUAUGUGGACUUUUUUCCAUGCAUAUGUGCCUUUUUUGUUUGUCUGAAUGCAAAUAUCUUUCAA